rnacentral:rRNA from 1 species
GUAGGGAAUAUUGCGCAAUGGACGAAAGUCUGACGCAGCGACGCCGCGUGAGUGAUGAAGGCCUUAGGGUCGUAAAGCUCUGUUGAAUGGGAAGAAAAAAAUGACGGUACCAUUCGAGGAAGGACCGGCUAACUUCGUGCCAGCAGCCGCGGUAAUUCGAGGGGUCCUAGCGUUGUUCGGAAUCAUUGGGCGUAAAGGGUGUGUAGGUGGCCAUGUAAGUCAGGUGUGAAAGCCUCGGGCUCAACGCGGGAAGUGCACUUGAUAUUGCGUGGCUUGAGUACCGAAGAGGGUAGUGGAAGUCCAGGUGUGGGGGAGAAAUACGUAGAUAUCUGGGGGAACACCGGUGGCGAAGGCGGCUACCUGGUCGAGUACUGACACUGAGACACGAAAGCAUGGGGAUCAAACAGGAUUAGAUACCCGUGUAGUCC